rnacentral:rRNA from 1 species
GUACACACCGCCCGUCACACCAUGAGAGUUGGGAAUACCCGAAGCCUGUGAGCUAACAAGUUUCUUGAGGCAGCAGUCGAAGGUAGAAUCAAUGAUUGGGGUGAAGUCGUAACAAGGUACC